GAAGCCCAGCUUGCUGGGUGGAUUAGUGGCGAACGGGUGAGUAAUACGUGAGUAACCUGCCUUUAACUCUGGGAUAAGCCUUGGAAACGAGGUCUAAUACCGGAUACGACCAGUUCCCGCAUGGGAUGCUGGUGGAAAGGGAUAUGUACUGGUUUUAGAUGGGCUCACGGCCUAUCAGCUUGUUGGUGAGGUAACGGCUCACCAAGGCGACGACGGGUAGCCGGCCUGAGAGGGUGACCGGCCACACUGGGACUGAGACACGGCCCAGACUCCUACGGGAGGCAGCAGUGGGGAAUAUUGCACAAUGGGCGCAAGCCUGAUGCAGCGACGCCGCGUGAGGGAUGACGGCCUUCGGGUUGUAAACCUCUUUCAGCAGGGAAGAAGCGAAAGUGACGGUACCUGCAGAAGAAGCGCCGGCUAACUACGUGCCAGCAGCCGCGGUAAUACGUAGGGCGCGAGCGUUGUCCGGAAUUAUUGGGCGUAAAGAGCUUGUAGGCGGUUUGUCGCGUCUGCUGUGAAAGCCCGGGGCUUAACCCCGGGUUUGCAGUGGGUACGGGCUAACUAGAGUGCAGUAGGGGAGACUGGAAUUCCUGGUGUAGCGGUGAAAUGCGCAGAUAUCAGGAGGAACACCAAUGGCGAAGGCAGGUCUCUGGGCUGUAACUGACGCUGAGAAGCGAAAGCAUGGGGAGCAAACAGGAUUAGAUACCCUGGUAGUCCAUGCCGUAAACGUUGGGCACUAGGUGUGGGGGGGCAUUCCACGUUUUCCGCGCCGUAGCUAACGCAUUAAGUGCCCCGCCUGGGGAAGUACGGCCGCAAGGCUAAAAACUCCAAAGAAAUUGACGGGGGCCCCGCACAAGCGGCGGAGCAUGCGGAUUAAUUCGAUGCAACGCGAAGAACCUUACCAAGGCUUGACAUAUACCGGACCGCUCUAGAGAUAGAGUUCCUUCGGCUGGUAUACAGGUGGUGCAUGGUUGUCGUCAGCUCGUGUCGUGAGAUGUUGGGUUAAGUCCCGCAACGAGCGCAACCCUCGUUCUAUGUUGCCAGCACGUAAUGGUGGGGACUCAUAGGAGACUGCCGGGGUCAACUCGGAGGAAGGUGGGGAUGACGUCAAAUCAUCAUGCCCCUUAUGUCUUGGGCUUCACGCAUGCUACAAUGGCCGGUACAAAGGGUUGCGAUACUGUGAGGUUGAGCUAAUCCCAAAAAGCCGGUCUCAGUUCGGAUUGGGGUCUGCAACUCGACCCCAUGAAGUCGGAGUCGCUAGUAAUCGCAGAUCAGCAACGCUGCGGUGAAUACGUUCCCGGGCCUUGUACACACCGCCCGUCAAGUCACGAAAGUUGGUAACACCCGAAGCCGAUGGCCUAAC
rnacentral:rRNA from 1 species